UUACGCUGGCGGCGUGCCUAAUACAUGCAAGUCGAGCGGACAGAUGGGAGCUUGCUCCCUGAUGUUAGCGGCGGACGGGUGAGUAACACGUGGGUAACCUGCCUGUAAGACUGGGAUAACUCCGGGAAACCGGGGCUAAUACCGGAUGCUUGUUUGAACCGCAUGGUUCAAACAUAAAAGGUGGCUUCGGCUACCACUUACAGAUGGACCCGCGGCGCAUUAGCUAGUUGGUGAGGUAACGGCUCACCAAGGCGACGAUGCGUAGCCGACCUGAGAGGGUGAUCGGCCACACUGGGACUGAGACACGGCCCAAACUCCUACGGGAGGCAGCAGUAGGGAAUCUUCCGCAAUGGACGAAAGUCUGACGGAGCAACGCCGCGUGAGUGAUGAAGGUUUUCGGAUCGUAAAGCUCUGUUGUUAGGGAAAAACAAGUGCCGUUCAAAUAGGGCGGCACCUUGACGGUACCUAACCAAAAAGCCACGGCUAACUACGUGCCAGCAGCCGCGGUAAUACGUAGGUGGCAAGCGUUGUCCGGAAUUAUUGGGCGUAAAGGGCUCGCA
rnacentral:rRNA from 1 species